UACGUAGGGCGCAAGCGUUGUCCGGAAUUAUUGGGCGUAAAGAGCUCGUAGGCGGUCUGUCGCGUCGGCUGUGAAAACCCGAGGCUCAACCUCGGGCCUGCAGUCGAUACGGGCAGACUAGAGUGCUGUAGGGGGAGACUGGAAUUCCUGGUGUAGCGGUGGAAUGCGCAGAUAUCAGGAGGAACACCGGUGGCGAAGGCGGGUCUCUGGGCAGUAACUGACGCUGAGGAGCGAAAGCGUGGGGAGCGAACAGG
rnacentral:rRNA from 1 species